UAAACGCAAGUCCUUCCCAAAAGCCAGAACAUAAAGAACGAAACAACAAAAAGAAAAAGAGAGAGAGAGAAACAAGUCUGUUUGGUGGGCAUCCCUCAGCUAGUCACUGCGCCUUCUCCUUCUCUUGUGGACUUGCGCAUGAUCGCUGAGAAAAAGCACAGAAAACCACGGUCUUCCCUGACCUCUCGUAAGAGCAUGAGGAAAUCCAACAUGGCGGCUUUCUAAUGGGUGGCAGAGAAAGGGUCAGUCGGGAAGAGCGAAGCUAUGUUUAGGAUUCAUGCUUAGGUAUACGUGCUGAAGUUUUGAUUUGUGCUCGCCCUGUGCAUUUAAAGCCCUCUGACAGGGUGCAGCUCCCUCACCCCUGGCUAACCAGGAGGCUUUCUCCCUCAUCACAGCCUGAAGCUUUUGAUCCUCCGAUCUCCUGCUUAUUCCUAGUCUAUGCAUACACAAGGCUGGAGACAGAAGGAGGCAUCUUAGGCGAGCUAGGGUCAUGCUCUCUACUCAGGGUAACCCCCCCAGCUUCCACAGAGUUUAGUAAAUCUGGGACGAGGCCACCCUGAGAACCAGGGCAGCUCGAGAGAACAUGGCUCCGAAGCUCGGGUAGUGCAAGUACCAUGUGGGGAAACACAGGAAACAGCCGAUGAACUCAGAAAUGAAGAACCAAGAGCAGACACACCAUUUUAAAGUCACUCUCUUUUUAUAGAUUAAAAAAAAAUUAUGUGUAU